rnacentral:rRNA from 1 species
CAGUAGCCGCGGUAAUACAGAGGGUGCGAGCGUUAAUCGGAUUUACUGGGCGUAAAGCGUGCGUAGGCGGCUUUUUAAGUCGGAUGUGAAAUCCCUGAGCUUAACUUAGGAAUUGCAUUCGAUACUGGGAAGCUAGAGUAUGGGAGAGGAUGGUAGAAUUCCAGGUGUAGCGGUGAAAUGCGUAGAGAUCUGGAGGAAUACCGAUGGCGAAGGCAGCCAUCUGGCCUAAUACUGACGCUGAGGUACGAAAGCAUGGGGAGCAAACAGGAUUAGAUACCCCCGUAGUCCCUGUCUCUUAUCA